rfam:Ictidomys tridecemlineatus contig003658, whole genome shotgun sequence.
UGAGGUGUAGCUCAGUGGCAGAGUGCUUGCCUAGCAUGCAUAGGCUCUGGGUUCCAGCCCCUGUAACACAA